GGUAAAUAUUGUCGGGCCGCCACCAAACCGGACUUCGCACAAUCAAGUCGCGACGCGACCCAACUCGCGACGUUUUUAAAUCAUGUCAAAGGUAGUGCGCAUCCUUCCCGUUGUUGUCAGCAACACAGCGCACUAGAUGCGAAACAGUUGCGACACUUGUGGACCAAGAAAAUGGCAAUUUUUGAUUGAAUGUCGGUCUUGAUUCCAACCGGAUAGACAAUAUCAUCAGUUUUAAAGCUGCUGCUGCCCUCAAAUGUCCGGCAUCCGGAGCGGUUAUCCCAACAGUUCGCAACGGAAUUAACAAACCGCAGCAGUAUCCUGUCACGCCUUUUAUCAAAUCGAUGCAGGAGGGCGCCUGGCAAUGGAAAAAAAAAAAUAAAUCGACCGGAUGAUGAUCCGGCGCGCCGCCACCGUCGUCGCUCACGUCCUCGAUCAGUUGUGGGGACAUCAUUUAUCAUAAGACCGGCUCCAGGACAAGAAUGAGAAGUUCUUAGAAAAAAAGAACACGGACGGACGGAACUGAAACUGCAGAACGAGUCGUCGAACAAGCAGCGCGAUUCGGACCUCAAGGCGGUUUGAGCGGUUUUAGACUGAGCUUUUUUAUGCACCUCUGGGGGUGCAUGGGGUCAUUAGGUUAAGCACUAGCACACUGGACCUUUUCUGGAUGGGUCCUUCUGGAUCUUUUCUGGAUUGGUCCCAAAUUUUUUUAUAGAAAGUUCCUCCUGAGAAUCCUCUAGGAGAUUCCUUAGGGAAUUCAUCCGGGAAUUAAUUUUGAAUAUUACUGACAAUCUUUCUGAGGAUUCCUCCGGGCAUUCUUUCUGGAGAUUCUUCCAGGAAUUGCGUGUGGCGAUUCCUCCAUGAUUUUUUUUAUUCUGUGUGACUUCUUCACGAAUAAUAUGUGGAGCUUCUUGUAAUUAGAAGAAAGAGAAAGACGCGAACACUGUCUUCAGUCAAAGACAAGGGACACACGGAGCAUGCACGAGCGGAUACGGAGAAGAAACUAUUCUCACGAAAAGUUUCAUCGCCCGGAGCGAGAAUCGAACGCCCACCUAAUAGCAUGGUGCAAUUAGAAGCUUGGUGACCCUAACCCAACGGUUACAAAGCUCCACAUAUAUUAUAUGUAGGAAUUGUUCCAAAAAUUGCAUCUGGGGAUUCCUGAUUCCUCCAGAAAUUGCAUUAGAAAAUUCCUCCAACAAUAUAAUCCAGGGAUUCCAGGAACUCCAUCUGAGCAUUCCUCCAGGAAUUCAAUCUAGGGGUUCUUACAAAAAGGCAUUCGAUCAGGAGAUUGCUCCAGAACUUCGAUCCGAGGAUUCUUCCAGGAACCCAUUUUUGGAUUUCCAGAAACUCAAUCUGGGGAUUCUUCUAGAAAUUUGAUCUGGGGAUCCUUCAAGGAUUUCUAUCUGAGAGUAGCAUCAGAAACUCCAUCCAGGAAUCCACCAGGAGUAUCUUCCGUAAAUCCCCGAGAUCAUUUAUUUUUUUAUAAUUUUCAAAAUAUAAAUACUAAAUAAAUAAAAUACGCUUUGAGUCUAAAUACUAAAAUCAUUAAAUUAUAGAGGAUAUUGCAUAAUUUCAAAAUUCAGGGUUACUUUGGGUAUUGUCGGCAAUUUUGUUUUCUUCUUCUAAGAAUCACACCUAAUAAAAAUCUAAACGGACUUUCAAAAAUUAUUAAAAAAUAUUCUUCGUGAAACUACUGAUUUCUCAAACUGAUAGUAAAUAUUUUUGUAUUUCUAAGACAAUAACCCAGAUGGCUGAGUAUUUCUGAGAAUCUUAACAGAAGUUCAGAAAUAAUUUAAAUAUUUUUCUUGAAGAUUCUGAUUUCUCAAUUUGAUAGAGAAUAUUUUCUAUAUUUCCAAGACUACAACCCAGAUGACUGGGUAUUUCUGAGAAUCUUAACGGAAUUUCAGAAAUAAUUUAUU